AGAGUUUGAUCCUGGCUCAGGACGAACGCUGGCGGCGUGCUUAACGCAUGCAAGUGGAGCGACGAAGCAGACUUCGGUCUGUGGCAAAGCCGCGAACGGGUGAGUAACACGUGGGUAACGUGCCCCAAACACCGGGACAACCCGAGGAAACUCGAGCUAAUACCGGAUGUGGUCCUCUCACAUCAGUGAGUUGACUAAAGGUAGCUUCGGCUUCCGGUUUGGGAUCGGCCCGCGGCGCAUUAGCUUGUUGGUGGGGUAAUGGCCCACCAAGGCUGCGAUCGGUAGCUGGUCUGAGAGGAUGAUCAGCCACACUGGGACUGAGACACGGCCCAGACUCCUACGGGAGGCAGCAGUGGGGAAUCUUGCGCAAUGGUCGAAAGACUGACGCAGCGACGCCGCGUGUGGGAGGACGCCUUUCGGGGUGUAAACCACUGUUGCCCGGGACGAACUGCUCGAUUCGUCGAGCUUGACGGUACCGGGUGAGGAAGCACCGGCUAACUCCGUGCCAGCCGCCGCGGUAAUUC
rnacentral:rRNA from 1 species